rnacentral:rRNA from 1 species
UACGGAGGGUGCGAGCGUUGUCCGGAAUCACUGGGCGUACAGGGCGCGUAGGCGGCAUGCCAAGCGUGUGGUGAAAGCCCGGGGCUCAACCCCGGGUCGGCCGUGCGGACUGGCGUGCUCGAGCACUGUAGGGGCGGGUGGAAUUCCCGGUGUAGCGGUGGAAUGCGUAGAGAUCGGGAAGAACAUCAGUGGCGAAGGCGGCCUGCUGGGCUGUUGCUGACGCUGAGGCGCGACAGCGUGGGGAGCAAACAGG